CGCACAUUGCGCCCGCUAGUAUUCUGGCGGGCAUGCCUGUCUGAGCGUCAUUUCAACCCUCAAGCAACAUCUGCUUGGUGUUGGGGACCGGCCGUCACUGGCCGCCCCCUAAAUCUAUUGGCGAUCUCGCUGUAGCUUCCUAUGCGUAGUAGUAACAUCUCGCAUCUGGAGAGCGGCGCGGUCAUGCCGUAAAACACCCAACUUUUUCAGGUUGACCUCAGAUCAGGUAGGAAUACCCGCUGAACUUAA
rnacentral:misc_RNA from 1 species